AAUUCUCUAUUCAUUAUGGCACUUCCUGGAUAAACAAAGGCAAUAAAAAGCUUUGCAAUAGACUGUCAGCAGAAGAGCGAGAGAAAACGAGAAGAGGGAACGAGAGAGGAGAGAGAACGAGAGGGACAUACAUAAGAGAAGAGUGAGAAAGAACCAUGGAGAACAAGAGAGAAAGUGACAAAGAAAAUGAAAAAGAGAAUGCAUAAAUGAGUCAGUCCGUGAUGACUUGUGCAGUCUGGUUGUAAUUACAGAUCAAAGGAGUUCCCCUGCUGUGUCCGUCUGUCUGGCUGGUGUGGGUCCUCUAGAGUGGGCAGAGACUGGGUAUGUGACUGGCAGCCAUAGCAACACCAGACAGUCUGCUGAUGCCAUCUACCCCCUAGGCACACUAUUCCCUAUAUAGGGCACUACUUUUUUUUUUACCAGGGCCCUAUAGGGAAUAGGGUGCCGUUUGAGACGUAUUCUCAGUCAUAGCCACCUGCUAUGGUAACCGAGGGGUUCUGAGACUAAUCACAACCUGAGGAAAGUCUCACAAUUCCCUCUCAAUUCCUGUUAAUAUUCAUGACAGAGUUGUGCAAGUGUCUGAGUUAGGUGCUAAGUCAUAUCCCAUAUUAAGAUUGGUCCUCAUUCAUCCAAGUGUCUGAGUUAGGUGCUAAGUCAUAUCCCAUAUUAAGAUUGGUCCUCAUUCAUCCAAGUGUCUGAGUUAGGUGCUAAGUCAUAUCCCAUAUUAAGAUUGGUCCUCAUUCACCCAUAUAGCUGGCAAGCAAGGAGAACCCAGCAUCCUCAGAUGAACUGAGACUAAUCCUGUAGUUGAGGAAAGACUCGAAUUUCAAUUCAAAAGACGCAUUCAUAUUUAUCAGAGAGUUGCACAAGUGUCCCCAUUUGACCCUAUGAGUGGUGAACGCAGUAAGGAGCAACCUAACAAUGCUCAGAUGAACUCAGACACUUAGGUAGCGCCCCAAAUACCACUAUUGCCUUUAUAGUGCACUUUUUUGGGGGCCCCGCUGACCCUGGUCAAAUGUAGUGGACUAUAUAAGGAAUAGGGUGCCAUUUGGGAUGCAGCCUUAAAUACAUCACCAGGUCAAUAUGUGAGGAUAUAUGCAGCAUCACAUCAUGUACCAUAUAUAAAUUAUAUUAAUCUACCCCCUAUAGCUUCAGGAUGACAACACAUCAUGUACCAUAUAUAAAUUAUAUUAAUCUACCCCCUAUAGCUUCAGGAUGACAACACAUCAUGUACCAUAUAUAAAUUAUAUUCAUCUACCCCCCUAUAGCUUCAGGAUGACAACACAUCAUGUACCAUAUAUACAUUCUAUUCAUCUACCCCCCUAUAGCUUCAGGAUGACAACACAUCAUGUACCAUAUAUACAUUCUAUUCAUCUACCCCCCUAUAGCUUCAGGAUGACAACACAUCAUGUACCAUAUAUACAUUCUAUUCAUCUACCCCCUAUAGCUUCAGGAUGACAACACAUCAUGUACCAUAUAUAAAUUCUAUUCAUCUACCCCCCUAUAGCUUCAGGAUGACAUCACAUCAUGUACCAUAUAUAAAUUAUAUUCAUCUACCCCCCUAUAGCUUCAGGAUGACAACACAUCAUGUACCAUAUAUAAAUUAUAUUCAUCUACCCCCCUAUAGCUUCAGGAUGACAACACAUCAUGUACCAUAUAUACAUUCUAUUCAUCUACCCCCUAUAGCUUCAGGAUGACAACACACCAUGUACCAUAUAUAAAUUAUAUUCAUCUACCCCCUAUAGCUUCAGGAUGACAACACAUCAUGUACCAUAUAUAAAUUAUAUUCAUCUACCC
rnacentral:lncRNA from 1 species